rnacentral:lncRNA from 1 species
CUUAUCUAAUUCUCUGUUGGUGUUAUUAUUUUUAGAUGCACAACAUAUCUCUUCCAAUAACACACAUCACCCUCCUACAGGUGAGGGGCUUUGAAAUCUGCAAACUGACGAACUAGACCUGUUGUAACAACUCUUUAAAUAAAGAAGCUACCUCAUAUUCCACUCUCCAAAUAUGCCAGAACAUCAGAGUCCUGGGGUCACAGCUGUCUGCUGCUAUGUGCCUGAUUUGGUUGGCUCAGAGGCAUGGAGAAAGUGUUUGCUAUGUCGCCCAACUCCAGAAGUCCACAGCAAAUGCAGCUGCUGUUUCUUCUGAAGCCAGAGUCAAGAGAGAGCAAGUCUACCUUGGUGAGGGUAUUUCAUUUUAAUUGGGUGUCUAUAGACACAGAUUUUGAAAUUUCUCAGA